UGAAUACGAGACGCUAAGGCGUCGAAGUAGUGUAUGUCAUACUUCCAAGAAAAGCUUGCACUGUCAUAGAUAAAAAACGCCUGUACCAUAACCGACACAGGUGGGUAGGUAGAGUAUACUAAGGGGCGCGAGAUAACUCUCUCUAAGGAACUCGGCAAAAUAACUCCGUAACUUCGGGAGAAGGAGUGCCUUAUUCUUAAGGUUGCAAUAACAAGACCCAAGCAACUGUUUAUCAAAAACACAGGUCUCCGCUAAGUCGUAAGACGAUGUAUGGGGGCUGACGCCUGCCCAGUGCCAGAAGGUUAAAGAAGCUGGUUAGCAUUUGCGAAGCUAGUAACUGAAGCCCUGGUGAACGGCGGCCGUAACAAUAACGGUCCUAAGGUAGCGAAAUUCCUUGUCGGGUAAGUUCCGACCCGCACGAAAGGCGUAAUGAUUUGGAUACUGUCUCGGAGAGGGACUCGGUGAAAUAGACUUGUCUGUGAAGAUGCGGACUACCUGCACCAGGACAGAAAGACCCUAUGAAGCUUUACUGUAACUUGAAAUUGAAAUUGGACUUUAUUCGCGCAGUAUAGGUGGGAGGCGUUGAUUAUAAUCUUGCGGGAUUAUUGGAGCCAUUAGUGAGAUACCACUCUUGUAAUGUUAGAUUUCUAACUUUGAAUCAUUAUCUGGUCAAAGAACAGUUUCAGGCGGGCAGUUUGACUGGGGCGGUCGCCUCCUAAACGGUAACGGAGGCGUACAAAGGUUUCCUCUGAACGGUUAGAAAUCGUAUCUAGAGUGUAAAGGCAUAAGGAAGCUUGACUGUGAGACCUACAAGUCGAGCAGGGACGAAAGUCGGUCUUAGUGAUCUGACGGUACUGAGUGGAAAGGCCGUCACUCAACGGAUAAAAGUUACUCUAGGAUAACAGGCUGAUCUCCCCCAAGAGUUCACAUCGACGGGGAGGUUUGGCACCUCGAUGUCGGCUCAUCGCAUCCUGGGGCGGUAGUACGUCCCAAGGGUUGGGCUGUUCGCCCAUGAAAGCGGUACUCGAGCUGGGUUCAGAACGUCGUGAGACAGUUCGGUCCAUAUCCGGUGUAGGCGUUAGAAUAUUGAGAGGAGCCUUCUUUAGUACGAGAGGACCGAGAAGGACAUACCUCUGGUGUACCAGUUAUCGUGCCAACGGUAAACGCUGGGUAGCUAUGUAUGGAGUGGAUAACCGCUGAAAGCAUCUAAGUGGGAAGCCCACCUCAAGAUAAGUAC
rnacentral:rRNA from 1 species